UGGCUUAUACAUUCCCUUGCAGUGAUGUG
rnacentral:piRNA from 1 species